GCAUUAGUUUAGACCUCACCUGCGACAAAAAUGCUUCUGCCGAUCGUCUCCGCCGAUGGAGGCAAGCGGGGCUUGUGCUGAAUGCUUCUCGUAGGUUCCGGUAUACACUAGAUUUGAAAAAGGAAGAAGAGAAGAAGCAAAUACUGAGGAAGAUAAGAGCUCAUGCACAACAAAUUCGAGCUGCAUACCUUUUCAAAGUAGGAGCUAUUGCAGAACCAGAAACUAAUGAUGCAGGUGUCGAUUUGUUCCACUGCCGAAUUAAUAGAAUAGGAACCAAGUCUUUAACUCUGGUAACAAAGGACAUACAACCAAUAAAUAGAGUAUGUUAUCUUCUUAAAAGGGAAAAAUUUAACUACAAAAGGAAAAAUCUUAAUUUUUCUGGAACUGUCCCUUCUGUUCGAACUCCUCUCAAGCUGGAUUAACUUCCCAUAUUGUCUACUAUUUUUAUAACAUAGAGAAUGCAGAAGGUUCACUUUUCAGUAUUCCUUUUAAUACAAUGUCUAUCUAUCAACUUCAACGAUCAACAAAUAAUGUUUGUGGUUAUUGUAUUAUGUAUUAUAAAUGUAUUAUGUGUAUAUUUUCAGAAAUGGUCACUUGACUCGCAUUUCUGACAAUAGAAGUUGAAAUAUAUGUCUUGUUUAAUUUA